UUUGGGCACUCUGAAAGAACUGCCAGUGAUAAGCUGGAGGAAGGUGGGGAUGACGUCAAGUCCUCAUGGCCCUUAUGUGUUGGGCUACACACGUGCUACAAUGGCAUUUACAACAGGAAGCAAGAUGGCGACAUCAAGCAAAUCCCAAAAAAAUGCCUCAGUUCGGAUUGUGCUCUGCAACUCGAGUACAUGAAGCUGGAAUUACUAGUAAUCGUGGAUCAGCGUGCCACGGUGAAUGCGUCCCCGGGUCUUGUACACACCGCCCGUCACACCAUGGGAGUUGGUUCUACCUUAAGGCAAGGUUUAAUACCCUUGACCACGGGUAUAGUCAGCGACUGGGGUGAAGUCGUAACAAGGUAGCCGUAGGGGAACCUGCGGCUGGAUUACCUCCUUUCU
rnacentral:rRNA from 1 species